rnacentral:rRNA from 1 species
UACAAUGGCGUAAACAGAGGGAAGCGAGCCUGCGAGGGGGAGCGAAUCCCAAAAAUAACGUCCCAGUUCGGAUUGUAGUCUGCAACCCGACUACAUGAAGCUGGAAUCGCUAGUAAUCGCGGAUCAGAAUGCCGCGGUGAAUACGUUCCCGGGCCUUGUACACACCGCCCGUCACACCAUGGGAGUCGGUAACACCCGAAGUCGGUAGCCUAACCGUAAGGGAGGGCGCCGCCGAAGGUGGGAUUGAUGACUGGGGUGAAGUCGUAACAAGGUAAC